AAAAGACUGUUACUUAAGUAAUUCUAAUACAAGGGAGUUUGAAAGCCAAAUACUAAUCACCCCACUUAAAAGGUAGUCAGGAUGGAGCUUCUUAAAAAUUGUUUUAAAAAUUCCAAAGUUUGUGCCACCUUCAACCUUUCCUGAUGAGGAACUAUUUCAAAAUUCUCCACAGUCUUUAUAAUCUACUGCAAUUAACUAUCAGUUGAUGAGGUAAAACUUACCGAGAGGCCUCACACUGCACAACAUAUAAAAAAGGUAAGACUGGAAAAUGGAGUUGGGGCAUGCUUGGCCAUUUUCCUCUUCCCUUUAUGUGAAGUAGGUGAUAGGACAGUCUCACUAUACACCAGGAGAAAUAAGGAUAAAAAUGGUAUCAAGAUGACUUAAUACUUCCCUCCUAACUCUCAAAGAUAGUAUACUGAAAGGCUUCUUGACUUUCCCAACUUGUCCAGCAACCAUUGGUGACAAAUGACUUCUGCUUGAACACCACCUUUAAAGCACCCAUUUAUCUGCGUAAACAAAGGAGAACAGUUCUCUCCAAAGGCAGUCCAUGAAGAUGGCUUCCACUACAUCCUUAAGAAUCCUAUACACUUAUUCAUCAAGCCAUAAUAGAGUUAAUACUUUACCCUCUCACCCUAACUGACUAAGAUAACAGACAAAAAUCCAUAAAAUAAUGGGUUUCAGUCACCGGACAACAGGUAGUACAGGCAAUGAUCCUUGGGAAAAGAAGCAUUAGUCCUACGAUUGCUUCAGUUUACUUCCUGAAGAGAAUUUCUGGGCUACAGCACAAGGAGGGUGAACCGUAACAGAGCCUGGAAGCCAAGACACCUAGACUCCACAACACAGGGUACUAAGAGGAGAAAUCAACCUAGAGAGAACUCCAAAAAUCUGCAGAAGGUCCUCCUCACUUAGUACUUAUCAUUGCAGCUGUGUGAGGAAGAGAUCCAAAAACGGAAAAGGAACCACUUUUGAGGAGCAUACAGAACAAUUUUGGAGGUCACAGAGAUCAAGUAAUAGUUUCUGUUUUGACUGGGUAUAAGAGAAAAAAACUAAUAUAUGGGUCAUUGAGUAGAAUACUCAGAAGGGCAGUAACUCAUUAGUGAUGCUAAAUUAGCCCUAGAUUAGAGGCUCCUCUGGUCUAGCCCGAUGAAACAUAAAAGCAAACUGGUUCCAAGAAGUUUAACUACAUCCAAUGACAAUGUCAGAAUUACAAACAUUAAAAGAAGACAAAAUUAUACUUAUUAAAAAUAUAUA